rnacentral:rRNA from 1 species
CCCUAUGGGGCGCAGCAGGCCUAUUAUCUUGGCGCAAUUACCAUCAAGCGGAAAAGGCGAUCCGCCAUAUUUGUCGCCAACGAAGAAAUCUUGAACUCUGUGAUUGAGGCGGAUCUUUUCAGGCAAUAUGCCCACCCCUUUUUUCUCGUCGAUGCAAGGUUAAACGACCAGCAAGAAAUGAAUCAUGGCCAGAUCAUAAUCUUCCUGCGUCAGUUACUUUUCUUGUCAGAUGAUAAUUCUAUCUCUAUCGAUUGGGAGACUCUGGAAUAUUUCAUAUCUGAAGAAGAUGGUCGGCAGGCUACGGUUACAGUUGUUCCUGGCAAAAAUGAUAAUGAGGAAAAUGUAUUCCGGUUGGAAACAGAGAAUUGGCGGGAGGGC